GGGUAACCGGCGAACGGGUGCGUAACACGUGAGCAAGCUUCCGAUUUGUGGGGGAUAGCCGGCCUAACGGCCGGGUAAUACCGCAUACGUUCACUAGGCGGCAUCGUCUGGUGAGGAAACCUCCGGGGCAAAUUGAGGCGCUCGCGGCCUAUCAGCUAGUUGGCGGGGUAACGGCCCACCAAGGCGACGACGGGUAGCUGGGCUGAGAGGAUGGCCAGCCACAUUGGGACUGCGACACGGCCCAGACUCCUACGGGAGGCAGCAGUGGGGAAUAUUGCGCAAUGGACGGAAGUCUGACGCAGCGACGCCGCGUGUGGGAUGACGCCUUUCGGGGUGUAAACCACUGUUGCCCGGGACGAAACUCCUUUUUCGAAAGGACUGACGGUACCGGGUGAGGAAGCACCGGCUAACUCUGUGCCAGCAGCCGCGGUAAUACAGAGGGUGCGAGCGUUGUCCGGAAUCACUGGGCGUAAAGGGUGCGUAGGUGGCUUGGUAAGCGUGUGGUGAAAGUCCGGGGCUCAACCCCGGAUCUGCCGUGCGAACUGCCGAGCUCGAGCAUUGUAGAGGCAGGUGGAAUUCCGGGUGUAGCGGUGGAAUGCGUAGAGAUCCGGAAGAACACCAGUGGCGAAGGCGGCCUGCUGGGCAAUUGCUGACACUGAGGCACGACAGCGUGGGGAGCAAACAGGAUUAGAUACCCUGGUAGUCCACGCCGUAAACGAUGGGUACUAGGUGUCUGGGGGAGCGACCCCCU
rnacentral:rRNA from 1 species